rnacentral:rRNA from 1 species
UACGUAGGUGGCAAGCGUUGUCCGGAUUUACUGGGCGUAAAGAGCGCGCAGGCGGUCGUGCAAGUCGCGUGUGAAAGCCCCCGGCUCAACUGGGGAGGGUCACGCGAUACUGCUCGACUCGAAGGCAGGAGAGGGAAGUGGAAUUCCCGGUGUAGUGGUGAAAUGCGUAGAUAUCGGGAGGAACACCAGUGGCGAAGGCGACUUCCUGCCUGUUCUUGACGCUGAGGCGCGAAAGCUAGGGUAGCAAACGGG